rnacentral:tRNA from 1 species
CAAUUUAAUUUUUAAAUAAAAAAUUUCAUUUACAUUGAAGUAAAAUUUGUGUAAAUCAAAUUAAUUUGU